rnacentral:rRNA from 1 species
UAGCCAGACUCCUACGGUAGGCAGCAGUGGUGGAUAUUGCACAAUUGGGGAAACCCUGAUGCAGCGACGCCGCUUGAGUGAAGAAGUAUUUCGGUAUGUAAAUCUCUAUCAGCAGGGAAGAAAAAAGACGGUACCUGACUAAGAAGCCCCGGCUAACUACGUGCCAGCAGCCGCGGUAAUACGUAGGGGGCAAGCGUUAUCCGGAUUUACUGGGUGUAAAGGGAGCGUAGACGGCAAUACAAGUCGGAAGUGAAAUACCCGGGCUCAAACUGGGAACUGCUUUGGAAACUGUGCGGAUGGAGUGCAGGAGGGGUAAGCGGAAUUACUAGUGUAGAGGUGAAAUGAGUAGAUAUAAGGAGGAAAACCGGUGGAGAAGGCGGACAACUGGGAUUUAACUGAAGAUGAGGAUAGAAAGUGUGGGGAGCAAAAAGGAUUAGAUAAACCCGUA